UACGUAGGGCGCAAGCGUUGUCCGGAAUUAUUGGGCGUAAAGAGCUCGUAGGCGGCCUGUUGCGUCCGCUGUGAAAUCCCGGGGCUCAACCCCGGGCCUGCAGUGGAUACGGGCUGGCUAGAGGCAGGCAGGGGAGAACGGAAUUCCUGGUGUAGCGGUGAAAUGCGCAGAUAUCAGGAGGAACACCGGUGGCGAAGGCGGUUCUCUGGGCCUGUACUGACGCUGUGGCGCGAAAGCUAGGGGAGCAAACAGG
rnacentral:rRNA from 1 species